rnacentral:rRNA from 1 species
AUUGAACGCUGGCGGCAGGCUUAACACAUGCAAGUCGAGCGGAGUGAUGGUGCUUGCACUAUCACUUAGCGGCGGACGGGUGAGUAAUGCUUAGGAAUCUGCCUAUUAGCGGGGGACAACAUCUCGAAAGGGAUGCUAAUACCGCAUACGUCCUACGGGAGAAAGCAGGGGAUCACUUGUGACCUUGCGCUAAUAGAUGAGCCUAAGUCGGAUUAGCUAGUUGGUGGGGUAAAGGCCUACCAAGGCGACGAUCUGUAGCGGGUCUGAGAGGAUGACCCGCCACACUGGGACUGAGACACGGCCCAGACUCCUACGGGAGGCAGCAGUGGGGAAUAUUGGACAAUGGGGGGAACCCUGAUCCAGCCAUGCCGCGUGUGUGAAGAAGGCCUUAUGGUUGUAAAGCACUUUAAGCGAGGAGGAGGCUCUUUUGGUUAAUACCCAAGAUGAGUGGACGUUACUCGCAGAACAAGCACCGGCUAACUCUGUGCCAGCCGCCGCCGUAA